rnacentral:rRNA from 1 species
UACGUAGGGGGCAAGCGUUGUCCGGAUUUAUUGGGCGUAAAGAGCGUGUAGGCGGCCAUACAGGUCCGUUGUGAAAACUGGAGGCUUAACCUCCAGACGUCGAUGGAAACCGUAUGGCUAGAGUCCGGAAGAGGAGAGUGGAAUUCCUGGUGUAGCGGUGAAAUGCGCAGAUAUCAGGAGGAACACCUAUGGCGAAGGCAGCUCGCUGGGACGGUACUGACGCUGAGGCGCGAAAGCGUGGGGAGCGAACAGG